AACGCACGAGACCUGCGGACCUGCGGAGGGAUCAUUACUGAGUAACGCGGUCUUUUUAGACCCGGUACCCGCCCUAUGUCAUAUGUUGGACGAGGUCGUCUUUAGGGGCGGCCUCCGACCCCACUUCCCGGGAAGCGUUGCGCCUCAUCAGGUCUAGGCCUUGACGAGGAUGGGACCGCCCGGGGUCUUUUUCAACCCUUUGUAAGAAAUCUGAAGUCUGAAGCGAAAGCUUAAAAUAAA
rnacentral:misc_RNA from 1 species